AGAGCUGCGCGUGCUCCGUGCCCUCGCGCGACGCGAAGGUUGUCGGGAUCCGCGGCAGCAGCGGCUGCUUGAGAUCUGUUUCUGGGGCCUCUGGCGGUGGCGGCCUGGGGCGGCGCGACGGCUGGUGCGCAGGUACACUGAUGCUGAAGUACUAUGAGCCUUCGGAACUUGUGGAGAGACUACAAAGUUUUGGUUGUUAUGGUCCCUUUAGUUGGGCUCAUACAUUUGGGGUGGUACAGAAUCAAAAGCAGCCCUGUUUUCCAAAUACCUAAAAACGACGACAUUCCUGAGCAAGAUAGUCUGGGACUUUCAAAUCUUCAGAAGAGCCAAAUCCAGGGGAAGUAGCAGGCUUGCAAUCUUCAGGAACACAGCCUAUUGGAUCCCUAGGCUCAAUAUGUCCUAAUAGUUAUGGAAGUGUGAAAGAUGUGUGCACUGCAAAAUUUGGCUCCAAACAUUUUUUUCAUCUUAUUCCUAAUGAAGCAACAAUCUGCAGCUUGCUUCUCUGCAACAGAAAUGACACUGCCUGGGAUGAGCUGAAGCUCACGUGUCAGACGGCACUGCAUGUCCUGCAGUUAACACUCAAGGAACCAUGGGCUUUGUUGGGAGGUGGCUGUACUGAAACUCAUUUGGCUGCAUAUAUCAGACACAAGACUCACAACGACCCAGAAAGCAUUCUCAAAGAUGAUGAAUGUACUCAAACAGAACUUCAAUUAAUUGCUGAAGCAUUUUGCAGUGCCCUAGAAUCUGUUGUUGGCUCUUUAGAACAUGAUGGAGGUGAAAUUCUCACUGACAUGAAGUAUGGACACCUUUGGUCAGUUCAGGCAGAUUCUCCCUGUGUUGCUAACUGGCCAGAUUUGCUUUCACAGUGUGGCUGUGGAUUAUACAAUAGCCAGGAAGAACUCAACUGGUCUUUCUUAAGAAGCACACGUCGUCCAUUUGUGCCACAAAGCUGCCUUCCACAUGAAGCUGUGGGCUCAGCCAGCAACCUGACCUUGGACUGUUUGACUGCAAAGCUUAGUGGCCUACAGGUGGCUGUAGAGACAGCCAAUUUGAUUUUGGAUCUUUCAUAUGUUAUUGAAGAUAAAAACUAAGAGAAUAGCAUGUUCGUAUUACAAGAGAAACAAAUAAACUAGUCUGUUGGCAAUUGAGAAAAAUUGUGAGUGUAUUUGUUUUCUCCCAAAGCCCUGUUCUACAUAUUUGGACAAAUGACUCAUAAAAUUAUAGAUACACUUAUUUAGGAAAAAAGGUGAUUCGUGAAUGGAAAUGCCAUGAAACAAUAAAAAUAUGAAGCAUUAUUUAUUUAAAAAUAUUAUAGUUAUCUUAGGGAUUCUAUACUGGCUGCUGUACAUUGUUCUAAAUUUUUGUUAUGUUGGCAUCAUUUUGAGAGCAAACAAAUAAAAAAGACUCCUAAUCCAUGCUCUAGUUUGGAUAUACAUAUUUUAGAUAUUUUCCAGUUAGCAGUAAUUACAUAUGCUUAAAGUAUAAAACUAGAUCUCAAAGUGUCACAAAACAUUCAGUAUAUAUUGCUCAAUCAAAAGAAGUAUUCAAACUGCACAUU
rnacentral:lncRNA from 1 species